UGCAGUCGAGCGGAGCAAGUAGGAUGUUGCUCCUUGGGUGGCCAGUGGGGGAAGGGUGGCGAAUGAUCUGACUCUACUUUUUCGUGGGGGAUUCCGUAGGGAAGCUUACACUACUACCGUCCACCACCUACAGGUGAAAGAUCGGGACCUUCGGGCCUUGCGCGAUUGCCUGAGCCGAAUUCGGAUUAUCUUGUUGUCGGGGUAAAGGCCCACCACGGCCACUAUCCGUACCUAGACUGAGAGGAUGAUCACCCGCACUGAAACUGAGACCCGGUCCCUACUCCAACCGGAGGCGGCGAUGGGGAAAAUUGGACAACGGGCGCGAUCCUGAUCCGCCCCUAGCGCGAGGAUGAACAUGGCCUUCGGGUUGUAAUUCCCUUUUGAUGAGGCUAAAUUCCAUCUGGCUAAUACCCGGUGGGGAUGACUCUCCCCAAAAACUAAGCACAAGUCAACUUCAUGCCACCCGCCACGAUAAAAGGAACGGUGCUUGCGUUAAUCUAAAUUACUGAGCGUACACCGUGCCUACGUGGUCGUUCAAAUCCGAUGUCCCAGACCUGAGCUCGACCUGUGAACUGCAUUGUGUACUGCUCGACUGUGGUAUAGGAUGGGGUAACUGAAUGCGUGGUGUAGCAAUGAAAUGAGAUCAGAUCGAGAGGAACUUCCAUGGGCAACGCUCCUACCUAGACCUGCCCCUGACACUGAGACACGAUGGCGUGCAGAGCAGACUAGAUUACAUGCUCUUGCUAUUCCGCACACUAUAUCAUGCAAACUGUAUGUCGUGUGCAGCUUGACUCGCACUAUCUGA
rnacentral:rRNA from 1 species